rnacentral:rRNA from 1 species
CCUACGGGGGGCAGCAGUGGGGAAUAUUGGACAAUGGGGGGAACCCUGAUCCAGCCAUGCCGCGUGUGUGAAGAAGGCCCUCGGGUUGUAAAGCACUUUGAGUGAGGAAGAACGCCUGGUGGUUAAUACCCAUCAGGAAAGACAUCACUCACAGAAGAAGCACCGGCUAACUCCGUGCCAGCAGCCGCGGUAAUACGGAGGGUGCGAGCGUUAAUCGGAAUUACUGGGCGUAAAGCGCGCGUAGGUGGCUUGAUAAGCCGGUUGUGAAAGCCCCGGGCUCAACCUGGGAACGGCAUCCGGAACUGUCAAGCUAGAGUGCAGGAGAGGAAGGUAGAAUUCCCGGUGUAGCGGUGAAAUGCGUAGAGAUCGGGAGGAAUACCAGUGGCGAAGGCGGCCUUCUGGACUGACACUGACACUGAGGUGCGAAAGCGUGGGUAGCAAACAGGAUUAGAUACCCUUGUAGUC